UACGGGGGGGAGCAAGCGUUGUUCGGAUUUACUGGGCGUAAAGGGCGCGUAGGCGGCGUGACAAGUCACUUGUGAAAUCUCCGGGCUUAACUCGGAACGGUCAAGUGAUACUGCCGUGCUAGAGUACAGAAGGGGCAACUGGAAUUCUCGGUGUAGCGGUGAAAUGCGUAGAUAUCGAGAGGAACACCUGCGGCGAAGGCGGGUUGCUGGGCUGAUACUGACGCUGAGGCGCGAAAGCUAGGGGAGCGAACGGG
rnacentral:rRNA from 1 species